UUUUUUUUUUUUCUUUUUGGGUAGAAGUGUGAGUCAAGGAUAUUGGAGCUAGAAAUAUGCCCUGGGAGGACCAGGACUUAGGGUGCCUUCUCAGCUCCUCCCUCUCUCCCUGUUGAUCUUGUCCUCCCAAAUACACUCUACUAAAUUCUCAGCCAAAAUGUUUACAAGACAAUCUACAUGAGAGCAAUAUUAGAUACUGAUCACCAUGGAUCCACUAAAUACUAGAGUAAAUCACUGUACUUAGAUUAAUAUGCAAUGAUUAAAAAUAAUAUUGCAUUUAAUGGUGCAGGAAGAUGUUAAAAACAUGUUAACUAAAAAUGCAAAUUCAGUGUACACUCCCAUUUUUGCUUAAAAAUGCAUGUGUGCAGAUAGAUAGUUUUACUUUUCAGUUGCACUACUGGGUAUUUACCCAAAGAAUACAAAAAUGCUAAUUCAAAGGGAUACAUGCACCCCAAUAUUUAUAGCAGCAUUAUCUACAAUAGUCAAAUUAUAGAAAAAGCCAAAAUGCCUACUGACUGAUGAAUGGAUAAGAAGUGGUGUGCACGCGCGCACACACACACAAACACACACAAUGGAACAUUACUCAGUCAUAAAAAAUAAUGAAAUAUUGCCAUUCGCAACAACAUAGAUAGAACUAGAGUAUGUUAUGCUAAGUGAAAUAAGUCAGAGGAAGACAGAUACCAUAUGAUUUCACUCAUUUGUGAAAGUUAAGAAACAAAACAAACAAGCAAAGGGGAAAAAAAAAAACAGAGGGAGGCAAACCAAGAAGCAGACUCCUAACUAUAGAAAACAAACUGAUGGUUACCAGAGGGGAGGUAGGUGAGAGGAUGGGUGAAACAGGUGAUUGGGGUUAAGGAGGGCACUCGUCCUAUUGAGCACCAAGUGUUUCAUGGAAGGAUUAAAUCACUAUAUUGUACAUCUAAAACUCAUAUGACUCUGUAUGUUAACUAACUGAAAUGAAAAAAAAAAGACUUUAAAAAAAGAGUUUUAUUUCUGAUGAAUAAAAAACAGAUUUUUUAGUUUUUUAUUCAUCUAUAAUUUAAUUUUUUUUCUAUUUACUGUUUUAAGAAAAUAUGUAAGGAACUAAAUAAAUUAAAAGUUUCAAAGGCUUUUUGAAUAAACAUUCUGAGGUGAUAUAAAUGAAGUUGUAUUAGGAAUAGCUUGUGUUAGGUUUAUAAGUAGGUUUGAAUUUUAUUUACUUUUAACUUUACAUUUGCAAAACCUUUUCUGACAUUGGGUAAAUAUUCUGUUCAAUAAUCUUUCCAUUGUUGCCUUUACAAAUACCCUAUGCUCACUGCUUUCACCACUCACUAGCAAAAAAUAAGCAGCAAUGGCAACCACUUGUUACAUUUCAGAGAUCUGGUGGCUAAAUUCUUCAAAAAAAAAAAAAUCAGCUGCAGCCUGUAUAUUCUGAAAGAAAUGCUCUUGGUGAAGCAUCUAGGUAAAGAGCCCUGAACAGUGAGGGCAGUUUACAUGUGAACACCAAGCAUUUUAUACAGGCUCUUGAAAAGAGAGCUGAUGAAUAAAGGCUUUUUAAUGACUAACUCUGUCCUUCUUGCCAAACUAUACUUCUAUGUAAAACAAUCCCUGCAUGAAAAAGUGAAACACUAAAGUGCCAAACUGAUUUUCAUGAGUCUAAAUCUUGUAACUUCAUAGUGACACUCCAGAAACUUUUCAUGAACACUGUCUAUGUAUCAGCACAAAAGAGAAAGAGUUUGUGUAUUGCACAGGUGGUAUUGGAUGAAGUGAAGGAUACAAAUGGGAAUAAAUUAUUUGUUUUAGAAAUAUUUACAAAGUAGAAAUGUAGAUAAUCAUAAUGCACAGUGGAAUAAACUAACAUAACUCUUUGAAGAUUAAAUAGUUUUCAGUGACAGGAAGUAGGGAAAAGGUAUUCCAAGUUCAUCAGGACCAAGAGCAUGAGGGCAUGAAAGUACACCGUGUACCCAGAAAAAUGGCUAAAAGCUAAGCUUAAUGGAAGAAUGCAUUGGGGGGGUGGUCUGUAUAAGCAGACUGCAGUCAGUCCUAGCAGCCUGUGAACACCACUCAGAAAUGUGACUGGGGGUGCCUGGGUGGCUCAAAUGGUUAAGUGUCUGCCUUUAGUUCAGGUCAUGAUCUCCAGGUCCUGGGAUCAAGCCCCUUGUUGGGCCCCCUGCUCAGUGGGGAGUCUGCUGCUUCUUCCUGUCUCAGCCCCUGCUUGUGCUCUUUCUGUCUCUCUCAAAUAAAUUUUUUAAAAAAUCUUUUUUAAAAAAAGGAAAUGUGACUGUAUUUUAUAGGCCACAGGCAAUCAUCUAAGUUCUUUGAACAUAAAAGCUGGAGUAGUAUAUUGAAAGGCUAAAGACAGAUACAAGUUGGAAAGUUACUGGAAUAUUCUGGUUGUGAGAUGAUGUCUCCACCUGCAAUAUGAAAGGAACAAGUGAAAAUAAAUGAUAAACUGAUGAAGCACCAGUGUGCUCAAGAACAAACAGAACUCAAUAAUUUACCAGUAGUGUGGGUAAGGGCAACAAAAGAUUCAAGGAUAAACAGCUUCCUUGUUAUAAGCAAGUGGGAAGAUGAAGUACCAGCUCUACUGGAUUAAAUUUAAUAUGGCUUCAAGACAUCAUGCAAAUUCUUGGGAAUUAAGAGAAUUUCAGGAAAAAUAUGUAAAGUUGAUAGUUACUACCCAGAAGCCAGAGAAGGAUAUUAAACAAUAUGUGUUAAACAAUAAAAAAAGUCCUAGACCAGAAAUAUAGGGAAAGAUUACAUUUUUUGAAGGUUAAUCAAAGGUGCAGAAACAGUGGUAGAGACAAUUAAGGAGAAAGAUAAUAUGUGGAAAACUAUAAAUCUGUAAAAUUAAGAAGAAAAUAUCAUCUUUCUUACUUCUUUGAUCAGAAUAUAAGUACUAUGAUAAAACUAAGUAAGGAACAAUGUCAGGAAAUCAAAUGGAGCAGAAAGGUUAAAGAAUGGAGUAGUCAACAGUGGUCAAAUAUAGCAGAAAAGUUGGGGAAAAGGAAGUCUACAAAGAAUGACUAGGAAUGGCAAAUAAUACACUACUGAUGACUUCUGAAAAAGCAAUUUCAGUAAAAUGUGGAAGAUAAAAGCCAUAAAGAAACAUUUUAAUGGAUGGUUAAUAAAUGGAGACAGCAAUUUAAAACAGUCUUUCAAAAAUUUUAAUAAAGUUAAGAAGAGAUAUGAGGUGUCAAUUUGGCAGAGAAACAAGGCCUGAGAAAGAGUUUUUCUUAUUUAUUUACACUUAAAAUAUGGGAGACUUUGAUCAAUCUGUUGACCAAAGAAAAUCUAGUGAAGAUAAAGAAAUUAGUUAUAAAUUGAGUGAUAAAUUAUGGACAAUUAUGGAACUGAGGAUAGUAAUGAAUUCAAUCAAUAACAAGAAUGAAUUCAAUCAAGGACAAAGGAACCAGCCUUGGAAACUAGGAAUACUUUUUCUGUAAAGCAAGGACAAAUGAUGUGGAAGUCCAGAACAAAUCAGUUUAUUGGAAGGGAAGGAAGUUGAGAGCAGUGUGUUGGCCUGUUGCUUUACUACUAAAUCAUAGAGCAACCCUAUGGCUUAAGAUAAUAUAUGGGUUUAAUAAUUUUACAUCGCAAUGGUGAUUCACAGAACAAUUGUGAAAUUUCAGAAACCUUUGGGUGGACAAAGUUACCUGACAUAACUAGGCAGGUAAGGGUAUAGCUCACAGACCCAGAAGAUAAAUGGACCCCAAGAAAAACAAUUACUACCACUGAAAUUAGGUUUCCUUUGGAAGUACCUUUUUUUAAAGAUUUUAUUUAUUUAUUCAUGAGAAACGCAGAGAGAGAGAGGCAGAGGCAGAGGGAGAAGCAGGCUCCAUGCAGGGAGCCUGAUGUGGGACUCUAUCCCGGGUCUCCAGGAUCACAUCCUGAGCCGAAGGUAGGCACUCAACCUCUCAGCCACCCAGGCAUCCUAGGAAAUACCUUUUAUUUAAGAUAAACUGAAUUGAAUCUAUU
rnacentral:lncRNA from 1 species